CCCAAAACGUCACCGAACAGCCCCAAAGUUUUAGCCGAGCUAGGAGAGCUUCCGAGGCAAGUUUUGGAGAGUUUCGGUAAAGAAAGACAAGUUGGAAGAAUAAGAAAAGCUAGUAAGGCGCGGUACAGGUACACACAGACAAGUAGAAGUUACUAUAGAAGAUGUUCCAGCGGGGUUAGCAACUCCACUUGUUCCUGGAGUGCUGCCGAGUCAGAGUAUAUGCGCUAUGAUGUUUCAUUCGAAGUUAGAGACUUUGCAGACAGAGUCGUGGGUAUAGAGUGUCAUAUGUUAUGAGUUUUAUGGGAUGAUAGAUUUUGGAAAAAAAUAAUUCACGAAGCGUAGUUAUGUUUUUCAUUUCUUGUUGAUGUAAAAGUCUAAGAGAUUAAAUAUGUACUAUGAAGCAGCGGGUUCGCUCGGCUCCAAGCAUGGGGUCGGGUGUCCAUCACACCCUGUUGAGAUCGGGGUGUGACAAGACUAAACCUCCGUGGAGCCUUCACCAGGUAACUCAGGACCUUGUUGGUAUUUUCAAAUUAUUUGUUCGCUUUUCUUGCAGGCAUGUAUACAGGGAGGCAAACUACACUGCGGAUGCUCUCUCCAAGCACAGUCACACUCUUACCACUCCAGGCCACUACACCAC